UUUGUUCAGCUGGAUAUCUUAUUUAUUUGAAGUACUAAGAGAAAUCUCUCCUGACUGCUCAAAAAAGGGAAGAAUAAACAGUAAGAGUGUCCAAGUCAUCUGAGCCAGAGAGUCCCUCCUUUCACAGAAAAGUUAUAAAAAGUAUAUCUGCGAGAUCCAAAAAAAAUAACUUAUUCUCACUCCUUUAAAGAAAGAAAGAAAAAAAAAAAAAAAAAGCCCUGUAAAACCUAGGAAGGUUAGAAUUUUUUUUAAUGUAUUUUUAAUAUUCUAGGCAGGUGACUGCAGUCAGUCUGUUUUUACUUCUUACAGCGUCCGCACCUUCCCUGGCUGGCGUGCUGGCAUGCUUGAGUGCCAUCCGUCUCUUUGCUGAUGCUCUGUGUCGGUGAAAGACCAGGUCACACAGUUAGAAUGCUGAGAUCUCAGCAUCAACCCCGGCACAUUUCCCAGAGAGAAGACACCAAGAUGUUGCAAAGAAAAAAAAGAGUUACAGCGUAUUUCAAAAGGAGAUUCUGGAGCACACCCAGUCAUGAAAAUGAGAGGGGUCUUCUCUCAUUGUCUCCUUUGCAGCCAUUGGCGAUGGGCUGCCUGUUUCUUAUGGGUGAAGAGGGGGGAUCACAGAGGGUUCCUGUCUGCUGAGCCUGAAGGGAUCUCUUUUCUGCCGCCGUGUGUUUUCCCCAUCAGCCGUAAGCUUGUGUGCUACAUUGCCCGAAGCCCCUUGUUCUCAGUGCCAGGUUCAAGGCUCUGCUGGGUUCAUGUUCGAACCCAGAGUGGAGGCCUUUUUUAGUCAAAGCUGGAAUCAAAAACAAGUUAGAAAUUUGGCUUAUCUUUGCCAAGCCCACCUGUCCAUUGGCAGCCUCCGCGAUGGUCUGUGGCGUGUGGAUCUGACACGUAUUCAGAGUAGGGGGAGGUUCGCUGAGAGUGGUCCCUGUGUAAGUGUGUGUUCUCUAGGCUCCCAGGACAGAGCAGCCAACAUCGACGGGAACCAUGGCUCCUGUUUAUCAGCGCUCACCUGUGCCAAGAGCCCCCUCUCUGUUCCUCCCAUGCAUUGACCCAUUCAGUGCCCACCGCCCCUCUAACUGAAUGAGGCGAGUGGGCAGAGGAGAGCACGGGGGCCUGUCGUGCAAAAGAAGAAUGCAUUGCAGUGUCUCAGGCCAGGCAUGGGCUUCCGAGUCCUGGCCCUUCUUCCUGAUGCCCCCGUCAUCACGGGCAAGUGACGCUACCUCUGUGGACCUGGGCUUGUCCUCAUCUCUGCCACAAGGGGAAACUAGUUUCUACAUCUUGAGGUUGUUGGAGGACGAGGGCACAGGCCAACCCUAUGGCAUGUGCUGGUUUUCUCUGUAUCCUUCCAGUCAGUGGGACCUUUCCUGAAAUCUCACUGCCAUCUAAGGACAUGUAGGGAGCUCUUGUCCAAGAUCUUGUCUGUCAUUUGGCCCCCAAACGUAUCAAGCCACUGCUCAUGAGAAAUGCCCUUUAACUCUGAACUCCCAGCAAGACCCCUGAGGAGCUGCCACAGUAUCUUCCUCUUGACAAUGCAAUUAUAACAAUGUAUUGUUGCAGCUCCUCGUCCGAUUUUGUGCUUUUUCAAAUCAUAUUAAUGCUCAUGAUGGCAUUUCAGCUUCCUUUGGUCUUUAGUGACUGUAAUACAUUUUGUUCCCUUGUUCUAUGCUUGUUCUUAAGUCACCUUAAACCUGUUUUUGGAAGCAGCUUUGAUAUGAAUUAAUAACAUGAUUUAGUUUGAAGUAGAGGCAUAUUCCAGUGAUUCUCUUAAUAACACUGGCCCCAAAGCAACUUUCUCUCCGUAUGUACUUUUGGACAUAGGUCUGUAUGGUCCAUGUUCAACCAAAGAGAUUGUACAACACCUUUGAAAAAAGUGUAGCAAAAGCAUCUGCUCUUCAGAACUAUAAACCUUUCACCUUUUUUUUUUUCUCUGUGUGAUUUACAUAAUAGUAGUUACAAUUGCUGUGAGCAGCGUGCCUGUUGCCAGAAUAGUAGACUUUUAAUCAGACAUGGAUGAGUAUGUGUGUAUAUUCAUUCACAGUUCUUUAAGGGCCGGGUCAGUAGAUAUUUGUCCCUUUUUUUUGGUCUUUUCCCCUGUGCCCAGUAUUGUUUUCCAGGAAGCUAUUCGUAUCUUAAAACCUACCUUUGUGAAAAGUUUCUGUAUUUAGUACUCGGUGAACUGGGGCUGGUUAAGAAAGACAGCGGGACCGAGCGAGGGCAACGCACGAGGCCCCAUGCUGACAGCAGGAACUCGGUACGUGGGUUUGUCUGUUGCUGUAUCAGGCAGAUCGGCAUGUGUACUUAGAAACUCUGUUUGUGAAGUGGAGGAGGAGGAGAGAAAGCCAGCAGGUUCAGCCCACUAUUUGGAUCCUAAAGCCUUUAAAAAAUUCUGUGUUGAUGAAUAAAACAUUUUAAUCAGAACCAUAUCAACACUGAUCAAUUUUUUUCAUGGGAGUCCAAUACAGGGUGAAUUCCAUUAAGUCAGUGAAAUACCUGAUCGAGUUGUAAACGGUACAAGAUGGUUAUGUUGUUGCUUUUUCAUAAAUUUGUGUGCCUGAACUCCUUUUCCCAGGACCCCCUUUUUUUUGGCGUCUCUUUGUGAUGGCUGUUUCAACCAGAAAUAUGUGUUCUUCAUUUGCUAAAAGACCAACCCUUGUUUCUUAGCUGACCUCUGAGAAAUUCUUCUGCAGGUCCAUUCCAGUAUUGUCGGGUUUCUCAGUUAGCCAGACUUGGUCUCUGUACAUGUUGAUGAUCAGAUUCUUUCCCAAACUUCCAAAGCCUUGGUUGACUUUGGGGUCUCUUGCCUUUUCUGUGUCGCGGCAGAGCAAGUAAUCAAAGCCAGAUCAGGGCGUCCCUCCUGUUGUUCCUCCAGAACAGUGUCUUUCAGAGUCGUUCAUUUGCCAACUUGUUGAGGUCGCAGCCCACUGUGUGUACACUUAGGCGUGUGCACGUGUAUGUGUCUCUGUGUGUGACGUGUGUGUGUGUGCGUGUCCGAAACAGAAGUUCAACGAAACAGACCUCUCAUCAUGGGCCGUGUCCUCUGCUCGUUUCCUCUUGGAUGAAUUUCCCUGUUUAAAGUGCUGAUAGUGGCCCAGGUUUACCCCCUCGUGGGGUCACCGCUCACUCUGUCAGAAUCUCCCCUCUGAAAAUUUCUGCUCGCAAACCGUUGGCUCUGGGCCCAUCCAAGGAGCGUUCAUCCCGUGCUGACGUUGGGGCAGAACAUUCGAAAGUGAGCACAUCCUUUUCCUUGGCCUCUGGGUGCUUACGUUCAAAGGGCUGGAGAUGGGAAGGAGCUUAGAGUGAGGCAAGGUGGGACCGCCCCAGCAUAGUGCUUUUCUGCCCUGGGGGUGGACCUGAGAGUCGUCGGGCGAAGCUGUCUCGGGGAGAUGAUGGGCAGGAGGUGAGCUUGUAAGCAGGAGGGGAGGAUGACCUUGCAGCCGUGAGGGCCGGGGCCAGGACCAGGGACAGGUGGAAGAGGGUGCUUCAGAACCUCAGGAAUCAAGCCAAACAAGGUUUUAGUGCCGUGUUUCAAAAAAAUCAAAUACGUGCCAAAACGUCAUGAUGUACAAAGUUCCAGGUUUUAAAUCCAGGUAGGAUCCUUGUUACAGCAAAGGCUCGAGCAAUGAACAUGGAUUUCAGGUGAGACGGGAGCUG
rnacentral:lncRNA from 1 species